rnacentral:sRNA from 1 species
GCUGGGCAUUGGGUGGUGUGUGCCUGUAUUCCUAGCUACUUGGGAGGCUGAGGCAGGAGAAUCACUCGAACCCAGGAGUUAGAGGCUACACUAAGCUAUGAUCGUGUCACUGCACUCCAGCCUGGGUGACAGAGUGAGACCCUGUCUCUU